UACGUAGGGGGCAAGCGUUGUCCGGAUUUAUUGGGCGUAAAGAGCGUGUAGGCGGCUUUACAGGUCCGUUGUGAAAACUCGAGGCUCAACCUCGAGACGCCGGUGGAAACCGUAAGGCUAGAGUCCGGAAGAGGAGAGUGGAAUUCCCAGUGUAGAGGUGAAAUUCGUAGAUAUUGGGAAGAACACCAGUGGCGAAGGCGGCUCUCUGGACCGUAACUGACGCUGAGGCGCGAAAGCGUGGGGAGCAAACAGG
rnacentral:rRNA from 1 species